GAGACCCUUCUCUGCGCCCACGUUGCAUCUCCCCCACGUGAGGCGCGUGGUUUGAACCUUACGCUCCGUCUGUCUGCCCAGCGAGCGCCGUCCCGGGAGCUGCGCGCGGGUGGGAACGGGUCCCCUGGGUCACGGAGUCGCGAGCGCGGCAGUGAGGCCACGGAGGCGUCAUGCACCUGGACACCCCCGUCCUCGCGGGAGGCCGGGGCUGGCGCUGGUUUGCUUUUGGGGAGGGGAGGCAGCUCCGCAGCCUCUGGAAGCACGCGGAGGAAAGCGGGGCACCGCGGCGGCGCAGGGAGCGCGUGGGAAACUCGGACGCAACAGGAGGCAGCGGCGCGGGCCGACGCGGCAGCGCUGGGCUGCGGCAGGGAGAGCGCGCCCGACCCGAGGGACGGUCAGGCGGCGGGCACGGCAGCCGCUCCAGGUGCUGCCCUCCCGGGAAGGAGGAGGGGCGCUGGCACAGGACCCGCCGGGACUAGUGGCAAACAGGGCAGAAACACUCCUCUCCGGCGGCGGGGCGCCUGGAAGGGGCCCGGGGCCGGCGCUGGCUCGUGCCUGGCGCCCUGGGCCCGGCGGAGCGGCGCAGCGGCGGCUCGGGGACGGGCAGACCCCGCGCGGGGCUCACCUGGCGCGCGCCGGGCGGGCAGCGCGGCUGGUCCAUGCCGGCGGCGGCGGCGCCCGUGCCCGCAGCCCCGCCGAGGGCCCAGGGCUCCGCGCCCGCGCCGGGCCUCGCGCCCGCGGGAAGGGUCUGGCCGUUCCGAGGGACUGUGGCCGCGAGCCGGAGCCUCUGUGCGCCUUCACUCCCCAGGCACGUCCCGAGGCCGGCGGGUCCUGGGUCCUAGCGCCCCUCCCGGGGUGCGGAGCCCCGACUUUGAGCCCGCCCGGCGCCCCCCUAGCUCUCGGCUCGGGGCAGCGCCUCUCCCGCCGCUGGAGGGAAGUGGAGGCUGGCUGGAGCUGCCGAACCUGGCGCCUUUCCUAGGACUGGGGUCUGGGGCGCCCAGCUCCCUCCUCACCGCGCCCACCCUUCUCUCCACUGUCCUCUCCGAGCGCCUCCACCCUGAGAAAACACCGAAGGAUCAGAUCUGCCACAUCCCUCAACUCAAAUUCGCAUACACGAUUAUUUUUAAAAGAUCCUAA
rnacentral:lncRNA from 1 species